rnacentral:rRNA from 1 species
UGAGUAACACGUAUCCAACCUGCCGUCUACUCUUGGACAGCCUUCUGAAAGGAAGAUUAACACAAGAUGGCAUCAUGAGUCCGCAUGUUCACAUGAUUAAAGGUAUUCCGGUAGACGAUGGGGAUGCGUUCCAUUAGAUAGUAGGCGGGGUAACGGCCCACCUAGUCUUCGAUGGAUAGGGGUUCUGAGAGGAAGGUCCCCCACAUUGGAACUGAGACACGGUCCAA